UGCACUAUUUUCCAUCCAUUCUCCCCUUUCCAGAAUUAGACUUUUCAUUGUAGUUACCCUGUUCUUCUCCAUCAUUUUUUACAUAUAUUAUAGAUAACAAGUUUUAGGUUGCCACGUCUCAAGGGGGCAUAUCCAAAAUUGAUGGGGAAGACUAUAUACAUUAGCCCAAAAUCCUUAGAGCUGUGUUCAGCUUAGGGCCCUAAGCUGAACACAGUAACAGGUAAGGCCCUGGGUUGUCUCACUGGGGAGGGGACAUUGGUAAGUACUCUUUUAUGUAGGUAUGAACGUUUCUUAACAACAACCAUUCAUUCCUUACUUCCUUUCCAGCAGAACUCUAAUUUUAUUUAGAGAACAUAUUUAGAGAACAGGUCCAUGGGCUAAAAUGAAGUCAGAGAGGUAACCUGGGACCAGAUCAUGCUUGUAGGCUACUUAAAAAUUUUGUAUUAUAUUCUAAAGUCACUAAAAUAUAAGCUCCAUGCGGUCAUGGAUUUUGUCACUGCUGAAUUCCCAGAACAGUGCCUAGCUUGUUAAAUAAAUGAAAGUGUAACGGGAGGGAUUUGCAGAGAGGAGUGAUGUGGUCUGUUGUACAGAGAAUAGACUAUAGUGUGGGCUACAGUAAAGCAGAGCGUAGCAUUGAGGCAGGGAAGUUAGAGGGCUCCAGAGAAGUCCAGGGGAGAAACGAUGGGGACUUACACUGGGGGCGGGGGCGGAGAGAUGUGGUAGAGGUAAAGAAGUGGCAGAUUCAUAUCGUGUGUGGAAGACAGAGGGACAGAAUUUGCUAAUAUGGACUGUAAGAGAAGCAGAGAAGACAGGAAUAACAAAAAAACAGUGACUGAGCAAUGUUUAAUUCAAAAUUACAUGGCUGGAUAAUAAAGCUUUAAAUAGUCACUAGAACUCUUUUUGAUUCUUUUUUUUAAAAAUUACGCUAAAAUAUACAUAACAAAAUUUACCCUUUCAACCAUUUUUAAAUAUACAAUUCAGUGGCAUUAAGUACAACCAUCGCCACAUCUAUUUUCAGAACUUUUUUGUUUCUAACAGACUUUAUUUUUUAGAGCUGUUUUAGGUUCACAGCAAAAUUGAACUGAAAGUACAGAGUUCCAAUAUAUUCCUUGCCCCCACACACUCAUAACCUCCCCCGCUUAGAACCUUUUCAUCAUUCCAAACAGAAAUCUUGUACCCGUUAAGAAAUAACUCCUCAGCAUUUGGGGUCUGCAAUGAUCCUGAUCCUGCCUGGGUGUGCCCCUUAUUCCUCCCAGCUCUCUCAGAUGCAGCCUCCAGCCUUGGCACCUGACCAAGAAAGGAGAGGAUUGCGGGUUUCUUGAGGACACAGGUUAUGUCUUAGUCAUCUUGAAUCUCUACUGCCUAGCACUAUACCUGGAGCUGGAAAGGAAUAACAAAGCCGCGAUCAAGAUCACACAACACAAGAAAGUUUACAAAAGGAAAAAAUACUUUGUUUUAAAAUCUUUGCUACAUGUCAUUAUUUUUGCCACUGUAAGGCUCAGCACAGAUGCCAGCAGUACAGAAAUGGCCAAGAAGAAAAAAACAAAACAAUCAAAAAUAAAACCCUGAAGGAAAAGAAGAAACAAAAC